UGGUCUAAUGGUUAAGGCACCAGGCUAGAAACCUGGAGACUGUGAGUUCUAGUCCCAU
rfam:Ophiophagus hannah scaffold424.1, whole genome shotgun sequence.